rnacentral:misc_RNA from 1 species
CCUAGAAACCUCGCCAGACUCUCACCGUCCACCCCAUCAUAUUCAUACCCUUCAAUCGAUCCGUCAACAACGCCGCCCUCCUCUGCCACCAUCAACCCACGCCCGUCCUCAUUUGAACCCCACGCGCCUCCCUUUCCCGCUUGAAAAAACUCACAAAACCCAUCAAUGCCACAGGACUUUCCAACAUUUAGAAUCCCACCCAUGUCUACGCUGGCCAUGACCGACGACUCCCAGUCAGAGAAAGAAGAGCCACAGCUCUCCUCGUUGCCGUUGAUGGUGAUGUAAGAAGAAGAAGACUGAAAAAUCAAAGGUGAAGAGUAGGGAUUUUCAAUGAACUUGACCCUUGUAGUACUAGUACAAGUUGCAGAAGCUCCUUCAGGGUGCGUGUCAAGAAACUUCAUGAGUUCAUCUAUGGUUUCAUCAUCCAUUGAAAGCCAAGCUAAAAUAUCCUCACCCAGAUCGCCGGAAGUGUCAGGAAGCGUCCGAGUCGGAGACUUUUUGAAGGCCAAGUCGCCCCCAUCAUCAAACCCUUCUCUCUUUCUGGGAUCCUCCAUGAGUUUGAGAUGAGAAAAGGAAAAGAAAAAAAGAAGAAGAAGAAGACGACGACUGCAGAGUGAAAGAGCCGUAUGGUUUGUUAGGUUCUAUAAAUACUCUUUGUCUCUUCUUGUAUAAGAGCACGCAUCA